UACAGAGGGUGCGAGCGUUGUUCGGAAUUACUGGGCGUAAAGCGUGCGCAGGCGGUUUUGUAAGCCAGAUGUGAAAUCCCCGGGCUUAACCUGGGAAUGGCAUUUGGGACUGCAAGGCUGGAGUGUGGCAGAGGAGACUGGAAUUCCUGGUGUAGCGGUGAAAUGUGUAGAGAUCGGGAGGAACACCGGUGGCGAAGGCGGGUCUCUGGGCAAUUCCUGACGCUGAGGCGCGAAAGCGUGGGGAGCAAACGGG
rnacentral:rRNA from 1 species